AGAGUUUGAUCAUGGCUCAGGACGAACGCUGGCGGCGCGCUUAACACAUGCAAGUCGAGCGAGAACCAGCCCUUCGGGGCUGGGGAAAGCGGCGAACGGGUGAGUAACACGUGAGUAAUCUGCCCUCGGCACCGGGAUAGCCCGUGGAAACGCGGAUUAAUACCGGAUGGCCCGCCGGCCCUUCGGGGCUGUCGGAAAAGGUAGCUUCGGCCUCUGGCCGAGGAGGAGCUCGCGGCCGAUUAGCUUGUUGGCGGGGUAAUGGCCCACCAAGGCGACGAUCGGUAGCUGGUCUGAGAGGACGAUCAGCCACACUGGGACUGAGACACGGCCCAGACUCCUACGGGAGGCAGCAGUGGGGAAUCUUGCGCAAUGGGCGAAAGCCUGACGCAGCGACGCCGCGUGCGGGAAGAAGGCCUUCGGGUUGUAAACCGCUUUCAGGAGGGACGAAGCCACUCGGGUUAAUAGCCCAGAGGGUGACGGUACCUCCAGAAGAAGCCCCGGCUAACUACGUGCCAGCCGCCGCGGUAAUAC
rnacentral:rRNA from 1 species